rnacentral:rRNA from 1 species
GACGAACGCUGGCGGCGUGCUUAACACAUGCAAGUCGAACGGAAAGGCCCUGCUUUUGUGGGGUGCUCGAGUGGCGAACGGGUGAGUAACACGUGAGUAACCUGCCCUUGACUUUGGGAUAACUUCAGGAAACUGGGGCUAAUACCGGAUAGGAGCUCCUGCUGCAUGGUGGGGGUUGGAAAGUUUCGGCGGUUGGGGAUGGACUCGCGGCUUAUCAGCUUGUUGGUGGGGUAGUGGCUUACCAAGGCUUUGACGGGUAGCCGGCCUGAGAGGGUGACCGGCCACAUUGGGACUGAGAUACGGCCCAGACUCCUACGGGAGGCAGCAGUGGGGAAUCUUCCGCAAUGGGCGAAAGCCUGACGGAGCAACGCCGCGUGAGUGAUGAAGGUCUUCGGAUCGUAAAACUCUGUUAUUAGGGAAGAACAAAUGUGUAAGUAACUAUGCACGUCUUGACGGUACCUAAUCAGAAAGCCACGGCUAACUACGUG